AGGGGUUAUCUAAGACAAGGAAAUUCUUGUUUAUCUGGACAAAUAAAAUAUGCAAGGUAACACCUCUAGAUUCUCUUCAUAGCGAAUUCUGCAAAGUAAGCAGUCUUGACCCUUAAAUGCAUUGUAGAUAAGCUAUAGAACAAAAUAAUGCUCUGAACCAACCAUGGGGAAUGCAUAUCAGAGAAUUAUAAAGUAAAAGCAUCUCAAUGCAUUAAAAUGCAUACAUAUACAUACAUAUAUAUAUAUAUAUAUAUAUAUACAACCAUCAACAUGAAUUAAAAUGCAUCUCAAUCAGUUUUCUCACAACCUUCAACAAGAACUAAAAUACAUCCCAAACAAUUUUCUAUCACUUUAUCCUCAAUUUAUGCAACUCCUGCAACUCCUCUUAAUAUAUUCAUUUCUCAAUCUAUUCUUUGUAGUUUCACACUUUCACUACACAUCAACUUAACGUUCUCAUUUUUGCCAACUUGUUUUUAUGCACUUUUUUUAUCACCCAGCACUCCAAACCAUACAACAUUGUAGACCUUAUUAUUGUUCAUAAAAUUUCUCUUAUGUCUCCAAGAUAUGCACCUAAACAUAAUAUUCCAUAUGGACUUUUCCACUUCAUCCAAAAAAGGGCAUCCUAAUGCACAAAACUCCAGCCACUGUAUGGUCUAGGAAAGGUCAAAUGUACGCAACCUUACCCUCGCAUGCAAAGAUGUUUCUUCCUUAUUCUUGACCCAUGGCACUCCAGAUCACAAUAGAGCAACCUUAUCAUUGCACCAAGACCCACCAUCACUUAUCCAAUUCAUCUAGAAAGCUCUAAUUCUAUUACAUAUAUCAUUAUCUAUCUCUCUAUUACUUUAUAUAAUAGAUCCUACAUAAUGAAAUCAAACACUUUAUGGUAUCUCCUAUCUAUCAAUCUUAAUUAAGAUCACAUUUUCAUUUCUAUUUCACUAAAUUUACAUUCCAUAUACCAUGGAAUACUUUACCGCCCCAUACCGUCCGAUAUGGGACAUACCGUACCAUUCUGGUACACUGUCAUAGAGCGUACCGACACUACCAUACAGUACCGAACCGCAUACCGACAUUACAAUAAGAUUUUACCGGUAUGAGGUCCAGUACCGAAAUGAUGAACCUUGCCAUAUACUCUAUCUUUGCACUACUGAUUUUUAAAUCCCCAACAUCAAAAGUUUUUCAGAUAAAUCUAAUUUAUUUUUUAAUCUAGUCCUCUUUUCAUCAAUGUCAUCCGAGAAUAACAUACAUUACAUCUUUGUAACUAUUAGCAGAAAGUUCAUCCAUAAUUAUUGCAAAAAGAUAUGGAGAUAGUGUUGAUCCUUGAUGCAAGCCUAUUGUGACUGCAAAUGCACAUGUUUAGCAAUGACAAAUCCUCAGACUCGUCAAAAAUGUUCCACCAUACGUGUUCUCGAUUAUUUCAACAUAGUAUUUAUGGACACUGUUCCUUUUUAAAGCUCACCAAAUUACUUUCAUCGGUACCUUACAUAAGCUUUUCUAAGUCAAUAGAAACCACAUAUAUAUUUUAUCCUUUUUCUCUUUAUUUUCCUAUCAACCACUUAAGUAAAAAGAAAGCCUUCCAAGCACAUCUCUCAAGGGGUUAUCUAAGACAAGGAAAUUCUUGUUUAUCUGGACAAAUAAAAUAUGCAAGGUAACACCUCUAGAUUCUCUACAUAGCGAAUUCUGCAAAGUAAGCAGUCUUGACCCUUAAAUGCAUUGUAGAUAAGCUAUAGAACAAAAUAAUGCUCUGAACCAACCAUGGGGAAUGCAUAUCAGAGAAUUAUAAAGUAAAAGC
rnacentral:lncRNA from 1 species